rnacentral:pre_miRNA from 1 species
CAGUUACUUCCUCCGUUCGGAAUUACUUGUCUCGAAAAUGGAUGUAUCUAGAACUAAAAUACAUCUAGAUACAUCCAUUUCUACGACAAGUAAUUCCAAACGAAGGGAGUACAUU